GUGGGGAAUAUUGGACAAUGGGCGCAAGCCUGAUCCAGCCAUGCCGCGUGAGUGAUGAAGGCCUUAGGGUUGUAAAGCUCUUUCAGUGGGGACGAUAAUGACGGUACCCACAGAAGAAGCCCCGGCUAACUUCGUGCCAGCAGCCGCGGUAAUACGAAGGGGGCUAGCGUUGUUCGGAUUUACUGGGCGUAAAGCGCACGUAGGCGGAUCGUUAAGUCGGGGGUGAAAUCCUGGAGCUCAACUCCAGAACUGCCUUCGAUACUGGCGAUCUUGAGUCCGGAAGAGGUGAGUGGAACUCCUAGUGUAGAGGUGGAAUUCGUAGAUAUUAGGAAGAACACCAGUGGCGAAGGCGGCUCACUGGUCCGGUACUGACGCUGAGGUGCGAAAGCGUGGGGAGCAAACAGGAUUAGAUACCCCUGUAGUCU
rnacentral:rRNA from 1 species